UCAGCCGUUUCUAUUAUUUUGAGACCUAAAAAAGAGACUAACGCCUGCAGCUUUUGGCAAGAGAGACCCUAUCGUCCUGCAUCUCCUUGUUCAAUUGGCAUUUGAGAAAAAACAAUAUAGAACCCUACCCCCAUCGUUCUGCUUUUUCUUCUCCAAGAGGAGCACCGCAGACCCUUAGAACAGACCCCUCUUCUCUCUUCUACAAAGCCUCCCACCGUUCUUCAACCAAACAAAAAAAAAACAACGACCUCCCUGGUCGUCUUCUUUAUCAAAAAAGCUCCAAGAGAUAUACACCCAAGGAAGCAGUAGUUGCACCCAAACAACCACAUCAGUUUUGUCUCAUCUUCAACCAUAUAUGCAGAUACAGUAUAUGGGAAACGGAGGAGGGAACGGAGAAGAGAAACAAAGGAAACCGGAUAGAGGGAGUGACAAAAAUAGAACAAAGUUGAUUUUGGCUUUGUUUCUGAUUUCAAACUCGAAAAUAUAAUGAAAAUUCUAGAUCUUCUUUUGGUCUUGGCUUUCGAAACGGAGUGGAGUUGAAAUAGGUGUUCGAUCGUAGAAGUUGCCAUCCGAGAGGUGAGGCAGUCCAGUCAGGGAUUCGAUGAGGUUCCGUCGAGGUUCGAUUUAAGAUCAUGGCUCUUUGUUUCCGAUUUGAGAUCUGUCCGGCAUCUAUUGGUUCAAGCUUCAGUUGUUUCGAAUUUGGGGUUGUAGCAUUUGCUUGAUUUCUAUCCGUGUAAUAUUGGGAAUUUCAUCUAAUGAAAGUUCAAUUCUGUUUUUGCUUCCUUCA